rnacentral:rRNA from 1 species
UACGUAGGGUGCGAGCGUUAAUCGGAAUUACUGGGCGUAAAGCGUGCGCAGGCGGUGAUGUAAGACAGGUGUGAAAUCCCCGGGCUUAACCUGGGAACUGCAUUUGUGACUGCAUUGCUGGAGUGCGGCAGAGGGGGAUGGAAUUCCGCGUGUAGCAGUGAAAUGCGUAGAGAUGUGGAGGAACACCGAUGGCGAAGGCAGCCUCCUGGGCUAGUACUGACGCUCAUGCACGAAAGCGUGGGGAGCAAACAGG